GCAGCCAGAAGAAUUUAGUGAAGGUAAAUUUAUGAACAUAACUGCAGAGAGUGGCUGUGCAGAAAAGGAUGAAGAUGUUCCAAGAGAAGAGACACAGAUAAAAAAAAAAUCAUCUUAAAGGAACUCUUGAAGAUAUUUCAUGACAUUGGAAGGUGCAAAGAAUAAAAUACAGAAAGCUGAUCCAAAUCCGGAAAGGAAAAUGGCAAUUUGCCCAGGCACGGGAAAAUGCUCACUCUGCACAAUAAUUUAUAUGACAGAUGGGAAGUUGGUGCUGGAGCAGCCAUCUUGGGCCAGGAGCUGGAAGGAGGAAUUGCAAUCUACAAUUCAAAUCUACAAGGUCAACAAAUUCAUGAGGACUUGGUGAAAUACAGCUGCCACGUCCCCCGGCUUUGGACUGCUACCUCCAAAAGUCACUUAUAUAAGAGAAAUAUAAACUUUUAUAGCCAC